rnacentral:tRNA from 1 species
GCCAGCGUGGUGCAACGGUGAACAAUUUUGCUUGUCGGGCAGAGGAUCCGGGUUCAACUCCCGGCGCUGGCG